GCCUGGGUGGCUCAGUUGGUUAAGUGUCUGACUUCGGCUGAGGUCAUGUUCUCAUAGUUCGUGGGUUUGAGCCCUGCCUCAGGCU
rnacentral:tRNA from 1 species